GGUGGUUCUCAGGUGAUGCACCCCGGAAUCGGGCUCCCUCCUCUCUGGUUCCAGGUGCGUCACCCAAGAACCACA
rfam:Myotis brandtii contig269472, whole genome shotgun sequence.